rnacentral:rRNA from 1 species
CAGUCGCCACGGUAAUGCGAAGGGGGCUAGCGUUGCUCGGAAUGACUGGGCGUAAAGGGCGCGUAGGCGGUUGGUACAGUCAGAUGUGAAAUUCCUGGGCUUAACCUGGGGGCUGCAUUUGAUACGUGCUGGCUUGAGUGGGGAAGAGGGUUGUGGAAUUCCCAGUGUAGAGGUGAAGUUCGUAGAUAUUGGAAAGAACACCGGUGGCGAAGGCGGCGACCUGGUCUUUAACUGACGCUGAGGCGCGAAAGCGUGGGGAGCAAACAGGAUUAGAUACCCCAGUAGUCCCUGUCUCUUAUAC